CAGCUCUGAUGAUGUGCUCUUGUGUUGAAUUAACCUCCUCUGAGCUGCGAAGGCCCUCGCAUGGGCACCCCUCCAUGCAAUGAACACGAGUCUAAGGGAGCAAUCCAAACUCGGAGGCACCCUAUUGGGAUACUUAUGCGAUAAAAUAGUCUGUUUCAUACGAGUAGGGAUACCUUAAAGGCAGCGAUCCCAUGUCGUGCAGUGGCGAUCAUUCAAGCGAUGAAGUCAUACGACAUUUUCGCCCUCUCUAUCCAAAAGCAGCGGGAGAAACAUUACAUCCAAAUUGAAGAAGGAACUUUGUUCUUUCUUCUCUCUAUCUCUUGAUUGUAUAUUGUUACUGUUAAGCACCGCAAUGGACAACCAAUAAUUCUUAAUCCUGCAGCCCAGGGUUGUUGAAUAUUGCGAAGCAACC
rnacentral:sRNA from 1 species